ACACUGAGACACUGGGAAAUUACAAUUCUUCAGAAACUCCUAUCUGUCUUAACUCCUUCAUCGAUACACUGGUCCAUUCAGCUGAAGUCCCUGAAUCUGCCAGGCACAGACCUCCACCUUGCUAGCCUGAAAGCUGCUUUUGGCUCGAGAUCUCCGAAGAAGUGUCAGGAAUGGACAGCUCUUUAAAAUAACUGAGGCAAAAAGAGGCAGCUGGAGGUCAGAUCCCAGGCACUGAGG